UUUUUCAUAUUUAAAGCUUCUGUGAGGAACUUUCUGUUUGAGCAAAUCGAUCGUAAUAUAAGGAAGAUGGCAGCAGCAUGUCCAGACUUUUUGAACGGUGUGGCGCUACGGAAGUGCUGAGUUAUUAAAGAGUGGCAUGAGCAGUUUGAUGGCCAAAAGUAUGGAGUCUGGAGAGGAAAGAACACUUCAUUAAGAAACAAAACCAAAAGAAAAGCAUCACAAUGUUGACUGAGUACAUCUGACCACAUAGUUGGAGUGUGUACUGUCAUGCAAGGUGGGCACGC